GAGGCAGCCACCAUCCUCCCUCUUUAUAAGGAGCUUGGCCGGCCACACCUCCUCUCCUUUGCCUCAUUUCUUUUCACUCCCUACUAUUUCCUCCACUCCCUCACACUCUCCUCCUCCACUUCCCCACGAAAAUGGUGCUCCCCUUGCUCCCAUGGCCGGCCAUGGCCAUGGCAAGCCACCAAGAUGAAGCUCUCCCUCUCCCUCAAGCUCCUCCUCACCAUGAGAGCCUCCCUCUCCUUCUUCUCCCCAACCCUAGAUGGUUUUCUCUCCUCUUCUUCUUCCUCCCUUGCUAAGAUUGGAUCUUGAUGCAGGUGCAUGUUGGUCCAAGCAUGGAGAAGCUUGAGCUAUCCUCAGAUCUGAAGUUCUUGAGCAAAAUCCAAAUCGAGUGAUUCAAAGUUCCGCAGAUAGACAUUGAAAAGAUCUACAACUUGGCGUUGGUAUCAUCCUCAAAUUCGUUACGGAUUUUGCAAGAUCAAGAUCUGGUCAGAUCUGACUUUGUCGAAUUAAACCUGGAGCUUGGAAACGAAUUUUUGAAUGAAACCAACUGGGGGAUAUUUGGUUGAUACCCUGGUGAUAAACGAGAGAGGCAAUUGCUAAGUUAUGAUACUCUCAUACCUUUACUAGAUGCGAACGAUUCCGGAGAAGAAGAAGAAGAAGUGGUUCGGACAAGGAUUUUAUUUAUAUUGACGGGAUUCUUAUAUUGAUGAAGUUGAAGAAGUCCAGGGACAAAUAAGCCAAGGCAAGCCAUCUUUUGAUCUCUGAUAUGAUGUCUCUUUGGAUGUCAUCUUGUGCUAUCAAUAGCAUCUUGGUUCUAUGUGUGAUGAUCUCCAUAUUGUUGUCAUCUAUGCUUGGAUGCAAGCAUGGUACCUCUAGUAGUUUUAUCUUGUCAAGGUCUUGGUAAUUGGUUGGGUGUAUGGUAUCAUGGCCAUUGCUAUCCAACUUGCUUUCUAUAUUUAGCUUGAAUAUGUUCCACCUCGGGACAAGAUUCAUACUACACCCCCUUCUAGUGUAGAUGUAUCAAUACCAUGUUUUUGGUGUAUUCUCAAAUUGUGAUGAGUAUGCCUGUUUUCCCUUAAUGGUGUUGGUGUUGGUCAAUUCUCAUCCCUAUCUAUCUAUUGAUGGGGUUAGAUAGCACCACAAAUCUGAAAGUAUAUUUCCUCUUGUGUUGUCAUAAUACAUGCUUAGCUCAAGCAAGUAUGAUCCACUCCAAUGCCUCUUUUUCAUACCCUCAAUGGCGUGAUGACCCUCAUCUCGGCCAUAGUGUUGUAUUAGUUCAACUCAUGAAACUUUAGAUUGGGAACCCCUCAAGGUUUACCUUGUUGUAAAUGUUUAUGAAAACCUUGGGUGAGGCAAUCUUACCCAAGCAUAUGGUUUAUGAAUGGAAAGGAUCUUGACAAAGAUGGUUGGAAAGAGGAAGGUGUGUGUGACUUGGGUUUUUGAGAAAAACGACACAUGGUUCUUUGUAUUCGCCCGGAACAACUAAACAGCGCAACCAUAGCUACUCCAACGUGGGCACGGGGCUUAACUUGACGUUUGUUCUUCUUAGCAUGAGGCACCGCACAACUAUACAAGGGUACGGUUACCCCCGAGUCCGGGUUGUCAUGGUUGGGACAAUAGUAUAACGGGAGGCCUUCGGGGCUGACCCGUCCGGAAGACACUAUGAGUCUCCUGGCUUGGCGGUGGAGCCACGCUCAAGAGGAGGUGAGCUGCCACGGUGCCGGGGAGGUACAUACUCCAUAGGGUAGGACCUCGUGUUAAGUCGAAUGGGCGAAAGGUUAUGUCCGGGUAUCCGUCGUGGCAUAUGUCGUUAUGCGGGGAUGAUGCCCACACGAUAGGUAUCCGGAUAGUUGUGGUGAAAGUGUGCAAACUCUGCAGAGUCAAAACUAUUCGAAUAGCCGCGUCCGCGGUCAUGGACGGUUGGGAUGGCCGUUACAGAGCUGUGUCGAGUUUUGGUUUUGAAAAUGAUUUCCAAAGGAAAUGUGUGUUGGAAGUACCGGAAGGGUACGGGAAAGAUGGUGUGCCGACCAUGUGGAGAUGGUCGAGGAAAAUGAAACAAAAGAGGGUGACCCUUCCUAGUGUUUCAUGUAGAGGAACUCUGCUUUAACAAAGAUAUAGAGAUG